rnacentral:rRNA from 1 species
UACGAGAGGUCUCAAGCGUUUGUUCGGAUUCAUUGGGCGUAAAGGGUGCGUAGGUGGCGGGGUAAGUCAGGUGUGAAAUCUCGGAGCUCAACUCCGAAACUGCACUUGAUACUGCCUUGCUGGAGUACUGGAGAGGAGAUUGGAAUUUACGGUGUAGCAGUGAAAUGCGUAGAUAUCGUAAGGAAGACCAGUGGCGAAGGCGAAUCUCUGGACAGUUACUGACACUGAGGCAGC